rfam:Larimichthys crocea isolate SSNF unplaced genomic scaffold scaffold554, whole genome shotgun sequence.
CCCAGCGGUUGCUCAGUAGUCAGUGUAGAUCCUGUGGGGCUGGCAGCAGCUACAUCUGGCUACUGGGUCUCUGCUGGCAGCC